rnacentral:lncRNA from 1 species
CCUCAACUCCAGCUCAUGGUCCUGUAGCUUCUCCUCCGACAACAUCUCCGCCGAAAUCUCCGGCAACGUCUCCAGUUCCUGCUCCUGUAAAUCAAACACCUACUUCAUCACCGGGAAAUGCUCCAACUCCGGCGACGUCUCCAGUUCCUGCUCCUGUAAAUCAAACACCUACUUUAUCACCAGGAAAUGCUCCAACUCCGGCGAAUUCUCCGGGUGCAUCUCCAUCAACAUCUCAUGCGCCGUCAAUCAACAGUCCAUCAUCUUCGCC